rnacentral:rRNA from 1 species
AGUCAUAUGCUUGUCUCAAAGAUUAAGCCAUGCAUGUCUAAGUAUAAACAACUUUAUACUGUAAAACUGCGAACGGCUCAUUAUAUCAGCAAUUAUUUAUUUGAUGGUUUCUUACUACAUGGAUAACCGUAGUAAUUCUAGAGCUAAUACAUGCGUAAAGUCCCGACUCUCGCGGGGAGGGAUGUAUUUAUUAGAUUAAAAACCAAUGCGGCCUUUGGUCGGACUUGUGUUGAUUCAUAGUAACUUUUCGGAUCGCAGGGCUUCACGCCGGCGACAGUUCAUUCAAAUUUCUGCCCUAUCAGCUUUCGACGGUAGUGUAGUGGACUACCGUGGCAUUUAC